ACGAACGCUGGCGGCGUGCUUAACACAUGCAAGUCGAACGGAAAGGCCCUGCUUUUGUGGGGUGCUCGCGUGGCGAACGGGUGAGUAACACGUGAGUAACCUGCCCUUGACUUUGGGAUAACUUCGGGAAACUGGGGCUAAUACCGGAUAGGAGCUCCUGCUGCAUGGUGGGGGUUGGAAAGUUUCGGCGGUUGGGGAUGGACUCGCGGCUUAUCAGCUUGUUGGUGGGGUAGUGGCUUACCAAGGCUUUGACGGGUAGCCGGCCUGAGAGGGUGACCGGCCACAUUGGGACUGAGAUACGGCCCAGACUCCUACGGGAGGCAGCAGUGGGGAAUAUUGCACAAUGGGCGGAAGCCUGAUGCAGCAACGCCGCGUGCGGGAUGACGGCCUUCGGGUUGUAAACCGCUUUCGCCUGUGACGAAGCGUGAGUGACGGUAAUGGGUAAAGAAGCACCGGCUAACUACGUG
rnacentral:rRNA from 1 species